rnacentral:rRNA from 1 species
UUAUUGGAGAGUUUGAUCCUGGCUCAGGGUGAACGCUGGCGGCGUGCCUAAGACAUGCAAGUCGAGCGGGGCGGGUUUAUACCUGCCCAGCGGCGGACGGGUGAGUA